AUGCCCCCGCCCAGCCACAACCAUGUGUUUGGCAGCAAGGGGACCGGCGAGCCACGCGCCCCCCCAGCCCGGCGCCCCACAGCCCCCAUGUGGGCACCCCGCUCAGAGGCACAGAGUGGGAGGUCGGGACCCCACGGGCUGCCCUGCCCUGGGCCAGAGGCGGAACACGGGCCAGCAGGAGUCCGUCGGGCCAGGGGAGAAGUGGACAGCAGAGCGGCGGGGCCCAGGUUACCGCCCUACACGCACCUAAUCACUCCUUCCCUUCCCCCCCGCCACUAUGAUCCACCCUGGGAAACUGAGGCCCCCUGGCUGGUCAGCCCCGUGAGCGCUGGUGAAGCUGCCCGCGUGCAGGAGGAGUCCGUGUCCAGCGGGCCGGCGGGGGUGCUCCUCUGCCUGGCGCUCUGCAUACACCCGGCCCGGGGCCUCCCCGCACCCCCACCUGCCGGCCGGCGCUCCCCUCCCUCCUGGCAUCGCCCACACCCCGUGGUCAGGCACAGCCCUCCCCAGCGGGCCGCAGGGCACCCUCAGCGUCGGCCACCUAACCAGCCACCAGUGAUGGGGGUGAUGCCCGGAGGUCACAUGCCGACAGGUGACUGGUCCUCGCUGCCCCCAUGGUCAUUGCCACCAACGGACACAGCAGCGCUCAGGACGUGCGGCCCCGGGCUGAAGGGACUGCUGCACACUCUGCAGCCCUGAGCUUCUGGCCUCCGAACACCUGCCCCACGCCCGCGGCCUCAGCACACAGGCUCCUCAGGACUGCCCUGCCCUCCGCUUUCCAAACCCACACUGCUCUGGACACAGGGCCCUCCAGCUCCGGUGCAACAGAGAAGAGCCUGGUCCUUCCAAGCAGAACCUCCACGUGGUGGGAAGGGGAGAUGCCAGAGGACUGCAAGGAAUCCCAGCUCUUGGAAGGCCAGAGGAGAGCAGGAUGUGCAAGGGUCUGUGUGCACACAUGUGUAUAAGUGGGGUGUGAGUGCAGGUGUCUGUGUGUGGGGGUGUAGGUUGUGUGUGCAUGUGUUGGGGGAGUGGAGGGUGUGGGUAUAUGCAUGUGGGUCUAGUGAGCCAUGGGUGUGUAGGCAUGCAUGUGUGAGCAUACAUGGUUGUGGGUGUGCACAUGGGUGUGCAUACGUGUAUGUGGGUGUGGGUGUGCGCAUGCAUGCAUGUGGUUGUGUGUGUGCAUGUGUGUGUGGUUGGGGGUGUGCGCAUGCGUGUGUGCACGCAUGUGGGUGGGUGUGCACAUGCAUGUAUGUGGUUGUGGGUGUGCAUUGUGUAUGUGGGGGAUGCCUUCCCUGUUGCUUUUAUAGUUUUCAUUUCACUGAUUUCUGUUCUUGUCUUCCUGUUGCUUUUAUAGUUUUCAUUUCACUGAUUUCUGUUCUUGUCGUUUCUACCUCCUUCUGCUUGCUCUCGGGUCAUUUUGCUCUUUGGUUGUAGGUUCUUGAGCUUGAGUCCUGUGGCUCAGAUUAUUGAUUUAAGACUUUUCUCCUAUAUGAAAAAUCUCCCAGUAAGCACUGUUCUCACUGCUUCCAACAAAUUUUGAUAAUUUUCAUUUUCAUUUGGUUUGAAAUAUUUUGCAGUUUCUCUGGAGUCUUCUUUGAUUUAUGGAUUAUUGAAAGCACGUUCCUUACUCUCCAUAUAUUUGGGGAUUUUUCCAUCCAUUUCCCUGUUAUUCACUUCAAGUUUAAUUCCUCUGUUGUCU
rnacentral:lncRNA from 1 species